rnacentral:lncRNA from 1 species
AGUUUAAACCCUGGGCUUGGUGACCACCUCGUGGGAUCCUGAACGCCGUGUCCAGUGUGCCUGCCAGCCCCUGAGGACAGCAACUAGGAGACAUCCAGGAGUGUGGCUGUGCCCAGCAGUGACACAGGCUCAGAGGUGAGCCGGGGAACUGAGAGGGGACAGCUGAACACACGGAGGCACAGGGAGAUGGGGACCAGCGCCACGAUGUGCAGCAAAAAGAAAACAAGGAGAAGUACUAUAAAAAAUGAGAGGAAGGCUUUUCUCUAAGCCUGAACAACUCCU